GAAGAAGAAAGUGACGGUACCUGAGGAGGAAGCCCCGGCUAACUACGUGCCAGCAGCCGCGGUAAAACGUAGGGGGCGAGCGUUGUCCGGAAUUACUGGGCGUAAAGGGCGCGUAGGCGGUUAUCUAUGUCAGAUGUAAAAAGCUAUGGCUUAACCAUAGUAAGCACUUGAAACUGUAUGACUUGAGUGCAGGAGAGGUAAGCGGAAUUCCUAGUGUAGCGGUGAAAUGCGUAGAUAUUAGGAGGAACACCGGUGGCGAAGGCGGCUUACUGGACUGUAACUGACGCUGAGUCACGAAAGCGUGGGUAGCAAACAGGAUUAGAUACCCUGGUAGUCCACGCCGUAAACGAUGAGUGCUAGGUGUUGGGCAGCAAUGCUCAGUGCCGAAGUAAACACAAUAAGCACUCCGCCUGGGGAGUACGUACGCAAGUAUGAAACUCAAAGGAAUUGACGGGGACCCGCACAAGCAGCGGAGCAUGUGGUUUAAUUCGAAGCAACGCGAAGAACCUUACCAAGGCUUGACAUCCCCUUGACAGAUGCAGAGAUGUGUCCUCCUCUUCGGAGGCAAGGGAGACAGGUGGUGCAUGGUUGUCGUCAGCUCGUGUCGUGAGAUGUUGGGUUAAGUCCCGCAACGAGCGCAACCCUUAUCCUUAGUUGCCAGCAUGUAAAGAUGGGCACUCUAAGGAGACUGCCGGUGAUAAACCGGAGGAAGGUGGGGAUGACGUCAAAUCAUCAUGCCCCUUAUGUCUUGGGCUACACACGUGCUACAAUGGUCGGUACAACGGGCAGCGAAGGAGCGAUCCGGAGCGAAUCCCAAUAAACCGAUCCCAGUUCGGAUUGCAGGCUGCAACUCGCCUGCAUGAAGUCGGAGUUGCUAGUAAUCGCGAAUCAGAACGUCGCGGUGAAUGCGUUCCCGGGUCUUGUACACACCGCCCGUCACACCAUGGAAGUUGGUAAUACCCGAAGUCGCUGAGCUAACCUUAAAGGAGGCAGGCGCCGAAGGUAGGAUCAAUGACUGGGGUGAAGUCGUAACAAGGUAGCCGUAUCGGAAGGUGCGGUUGGA
rnacentral:rRNA from 1 species